UACGUAGGGUGCGAGCGUUGUCCGGAAUUAUUGGGCGUAAAGAGCUUGUAGGCGGUCUGUCGCGUCUGCUGUGAAAAUCCGGGGCUCAACCCCGGACUUGCAGUGGGUACGGGCAGACUAGAGUGUGGUAGGGGAGACUGGAAUUCCUGGUGUAGCGGUGGAAUGCGCAGAUAUCAGGAGGAACACCGGUGGCGAAGGCGGGUCUCUGGGCCGACAUUGACGCUGAGGAGCGAAAGCGUGGGGAGCGAACAGG
rnacentral:rRNA from 1 species